rnacentral:tRNA from 5 species
CGCUAUGACUAUUGGUAUAGAUGAUCAAUUGCAGCUUGAUUAAUUAGGGUUCAAUUCCCUACAUAGUGU